rnacentral:lncRNA from 1 species
GGAUCAAGCCUGUACUUUGAUCGAUUUUAUUCUAUUUAUAUGUUUAGGCUUUUUAGCUUCAUGUGUCAAAUCAAAUGGGCUUGAGAGACAGUCUUGUGCUCUCUAGUUAGCAGCACGUACCAGAGCCUUUAGUUUAGCCGCUGUACAGGUCUCUAUUAGAUAGCGGGAAAAGAAUGCAUUUAUUAGAGUGACCUUUGCAAGGAUAAGAAAGAUAAUAAAGGACUGACUGAGUAGGCAUUUGAUCACUCUCUAUACGAAGCUGGAGUUAUACGCUCCAAGACAAGACAUCCUACAUCAGUCUGUCUAUUUUCAUUCAUUGUCCACUCUUUUCCGACAAACUGCAAUUAGGCAAUCCUUUGUGGCGGAUUCCGAGUCAGUUAAAAUCUUCCGUUUCUCACUUUACCCUUGGAGUCGUGCCACGGCCCUGUACACAAAUGAUAUCUCUCGAUUCUCUAGUCUCAUUUCUGAGUUAAAAAAGUCAAACUUUCUUGGAAGAAUCCUUUUUAUAGGUGAAAGGGCCGACCCUUGGACCUAUUCUAUUCAGUCCAAACAAAGAACAAUCAAUGAUUUCUUUGAUGGCAUUUCUAAAUGAGAAUGAGUCAGAGGAGAGGGGUGGUUCUUCUUUAUUCUUUUCCUAGAAAACGUCAAAUUGAAAUCCCUACAAAGGCACCGAGAGCUCUAAUGAUGAGUAGAAAAAUAAAGUUGACCAUAACAAAAAAAGAUGUUGGAAUGCACGGGACAGGAGGAGAGUGUCUCCUGCCUCUGAAUGGCAAGCUUGAGUUUGAACCUGGUCUAUCUCAUUGGUUAGCCAGUCCCACAGACAGAAAGAAACUGAUAGAAAGAUUCGGGCGAUAAAGUCCGAGACUCUGAGCUCUUACUAUGACUACGAGCAGUAGCUGUGGCCAAGACACGAGCAAGAGAAUAGCCAUUCUGUCGCACCUUCUUAACUGGACACCUUUCUGACAUCAAGGCAACUCCAACUACCGGAAACAGCCGUUACAUUAGCUCGAACAUUCGAUUGUGAGAUGAAAUUAAACUCUCACCUCCCUUCAAGAAAUUGAAUUGAGUCACCUGUCCCCUAUUAGAGAGGAAGAGUGACGUUGUGUCCAGUCAUCGUCUAUUCACAUUCAACUAAAAUAACUGGACUUUCACUUAGAGUUUGAUUAGCAUAAAGUGCCAGCCCAGCUAGGCUGAGUUCCGUUCCAUUGCUUUCCCAAUAAGUGAAGUAGCGAAACCUCCCUCUGAAUGAACAGAAGCGGAAUGCAACUCAAAAAAAGUUCUAGGAUCACAAUGAGGUCCCACGAAAAAAUGAGCUGAAACGGAGCAAAAGGGAAAGCCCGCGCGCGGGAAGCAAAGUACCAUCGUGCACACUCAUCAAACCAAUGAUCGCUGCCAAAAAGACGGUGAGUUCGAAGCCACUUCCUAUAUCCGAUAUCCGAGGAGAUGGAAUUGUGAAGAACCUGACGAAGAUGAUGAUGUCCAAAACCCGGUAGAACUAAGGUAGUUAAGUUCUCCGAGGUUUAAUCUCCUACCUUGCUUCCAUUCUUUAAUGGCAUUCUGCAGUUCAAUGUCGGCGAAGCCUUGCAUUGAAUAGGUUGUUAUAAGCCUGACUUGGAGGCUUGAGAGACAUUCUUGUGCUCUCUAGUUAGCAGCACGUACCAGAGCCUUUAGUUUAGCCGUUGUACAGGUCUCUAUUAGAUAGCGGGAAAAGAAUGCAUUUAUUAGAGUGACCUUUGCAAGGAUGAGAAAGAUAAUAAAGGACUGACUGAGUAGGCAUUUGAUCACUCUCUAUACGAAGCUGGAGUUAUACGCUCCAAGACAAGACAUCCUACAUCAGUCUGUCUAUUUUCAUUCAUUGUACACUCUUUUCCGACAAACUGCAAUUAGGCAAUCCUUUGUGGCGGAUUCCGAGUUUGUUAAAAUCUUCCGUUUCUCACUUUACCCUUAGAGUCGUGCCACGGCCCUGUACACAAAUGAUAUCUCUCGAUUCUCUAGUCUCAUUUCUGAGUUAAAAAAGUCAAACUUUCUUGGAAGAAUCCUUUUUAUAGGUGAAAGGGCCGACCCUUGGACCUAUUCUAUUCAGUCCAAACAAAGAACAAUCAAUGAUUUCUUUGAUGGCAUUUCUAAAUAAGAAUGAGUCAGAGGAGAGGGGUGGUUCUUCUUUAUUCUUUUCCUAGAAAACGUCAAAUUAAAAUCCCUACAAAGGCACCGAGAGCUCUAAUAAUAAGUAGAAAAAUAAAGUUGACCAUAACAAAAAAAGAUGUUGGAAUGCACGGGACAGAAGGAGAGUGCCUCCUACCUCUGAAUGGCAAGCUUGAGUUUGAACCUGGUCUACCUCAUUGGUUAGCCAGUCCUACAGACAGAAAGAAACUGAUAGAAAUAUUCGGGCGAUAAAGUCCGAGACUCUGAGCUCUUACUAUGACUACGAGCAGUAGCUGUGGCCAAGACACGAGCAAGAGAAUAGCCAUUCUGUCGCACCUUCUUAACUGGACACCUUUCUGACAUCAAGGCAACUCCAACUACCGGAAACAGCCGUUACAUUAGCUCGAACAUUCGAUUGUGAGAUGAAAUUAAACUCUCACCUCCCUUCACGAAAUUGAAUUGAGUCACCUGUCCCCUAUUAGAGAGGAAGAGUGACGUUGUGUCCAGUCAUCUUUUAUUCACAUUCAACUAAAAUAACUGGACUUUCACUUAGAUUUUGAUUAGCAUAAAGUGCUAGCCCAGCUAGGCUGAGUUCCGUUCCAUUGCUUUCCCAAUAAGUGAAGUAGCGAAACCUCCCUCUGAAUGAACAGAAGCGGAAUGCAACUCAAAAAAAGUUCUAGGAUCACAAUAAGGUCCCACAAAAAAAUGAGCUGAAACGGAGCAAAAGGGAAAGCCCGCGCGCGGGAAGCAAAGUACCAUCGUGCACACUCAUCAAACCAAUGAUCGCUGCCAAAAAGACGGUGAGUUCAAAGCCACUUCCUAUAUCCCAUAUCCGAGGAGAUGGAGUUGUGAAGAACCUGACGAAGAUGAUGAUGUCCAAAACCCGGUAGAACUAAGGUAGUUAAGUUCUCCGAGGUUUAAUCUCCUACCUUGCUUCCAUUCUUUAAUGGCAUUCUGCAGUUCAAUGUCGGCGAAGCCUUGCAUUGAAUAGGUUGUUAUAAGGCUGACUUGGCUCUAGAAAGCAGAUUCAUUAUUGUAGCCUUAUAAUCUAAGAAGGUCAGGCAUUGUGCUGUGGCAUAAGCUUUGUCUUCCUCUACCUUUGGAUUGAGAUUUCAUCUGGACUAAGUAAGCACUUUAAAGAAAGGAAGUAAAAGAUUCAAUCAGAUCAGAAGAAGACUGACUUCAGCUUUGACUUCCUCCCGAGCGAGAGCGAUCAAAGGAC